GACGAACUGUGCGAACGUUAUUCGGAAUCACUGGGCUUACAGGGUGCGUAGGCGGUCAUCUAAGUCCGAUGUGAAAUCCCCCGGCUCAACCGGGGAAUUGCGUUGGAAACUGGACGGCUUGAGUGAGGUAGGGGCGCGUGGAACUUCCGGUGGAGCGGUGAAAUGUGUUGAUAUCGGAAGGAACGCCGGUGGCGAAAGCGGCGCGCUGGGCCUCAACUGACGCUGAGGCACGAAAGCCAGGGGAGCGAACGGG
rnacentral:misc_RNA from 1 species